rnacentral:rRNA from 1 species
ACGGAAGGCAGCAGUGGGGAAUCUUGCACAAUGGGGGAAACCCUGAUGCAGCGACGCCGCGUGAGCGAUGAAGCCCUUCGGGGUGUAAAGCUCUUUCGGCAGGAACGAUAAUGACGGUACCUGAAGAAGAAGCUGCGGCUAACUACGUGCCAGCAGCCGCGGUAAUACGUAGGCAGCGAGCGUUGUUCGGAGUUACUGGGCGUAAAGCGUGCGUAGGCGGUUUUGUAAGUUUGGUGUGAAAUCUCCCGGCUCAACUGGGAGGGUGCGCCGAAAACUGCAAGGCUGGAGUGUGGGAGAGGUAGGCGGAAUUCCUGGUGUAGCGGUGAAAUGCGUAGAUAUCAGGAGGAACACCUGUGGUGUAGACGGCUUACUGGACCAUGACUGACGCUGAGGCACGAAAGCGUGGGGAGCAAACAGGAUUAGAUACCCUGGUA